AACUGUUAUUUAUAGCAUAGCACCAUUAUCAAUGCCAUUAUGAGUUUAGUGGGUCCAGCUUAUCUGGAAGACUGUAUCCUCCCAUACAAGCCCACUCAGGCUGUAAGAACUGCAGGAAAGGCCCUUCUCAUGGUUUCACCACCUUCAGAGACCUAUCUGAUGGGGACUCAAGAAAGGGCCUUUUUGGGGGCUGUGCGCAUGCUCUGGAACUCCUUACCAAGACAAUUUAGAUCCCCCCCCUCUCCUUCCAGUAGCAGGCAAAGACUUUUUAAUUAGGCAGGCCUUUGACAAUGAAGAACCUCCGGUUUCCCAGUGUCUGUGGUGGUUCUAGUUGUUCUAAUCUAACCACCUUGAGCAACAGCUAGCUUCACACAACAACAUUUCAGGAAAGGUUCAUGUACCCAGGCAAGAUUUAGAUGGAGAUUACCUUGAUCAAACUGGCAUACUACCUGUACCUGGAGAGAUAGAAAGAUGUCAUACACCUCCCUUUGAUUCUCUUGAUUCUGUCUGUAUUUUUCGUGAUAUCAGACUUGAUUUCCUGGACUGCCUCCAUGGGAUAGCAAUGAGGAGUGAUUGCCUUGUCUGUGAACGGGUGGCUGAAAACAUUUACAAGACCAGGAUAAAUAUGUGCCUCUAGGGAUCUUGAUAUUCCAGAAAGCUGAACCUACUGCUGCAUGCUCACACUCCACGAGCAAUGUCUAAAUUUACUUAUAUGGCCAAAGUAAAGACAGGAAGACAAACAUCAAAUUUUGUUCAUUUGGGAGCUUUUAUUGACUACUUGCAGAAUAAAACACAUUCAUCUACUGAUUGUUCAGAUUUUUGUUACACAUGUAUUUUAACAAAGAUUGCUUUAUACAUUUAUACAUUUUAAAUUUAUAUAAUAAAGUAUGUCAAAAAUCAUUUCAGUCACAUCGUGAGUAACCUGGGGCCUGUCGCAGCUGGUCUCAUAUGUGGGGGAUGUUUGAUGAGGUGCAUAUAGUUUGGAAUCCAGCAAUAUCUGAUCAGCCAAGAUCCCUGAUCGUGUUCUAGAAGUUAAAAACAAUUUUGCAUUGUCUCUCAGUCAUUGCAUUUUUAG